rnacentral:lncRNA from 1 species
GGUGGUUGUAGCGUCAGUACGCUUAAGCUAAGUCAAAGAGCAAUACACCCACAGUUUGCCCUAAUUAAUAGCAUGUACGGCUGUUGUUUUAAUUAAUGCCUGGACAUAAGUUUUUGAAUCUUGAAUCAAGUACUCAGAUUUAUACGUUGCGGAAAAUACUGUCGGACGCAAGCAUACCGUAAAAGAUCUGGGUAAUGAAGACAUACCACUCAAUCACACCGAAUGAAGACGCCUCUGAGUAAUUAAACGCCAAGCAGGAGGGUCAUAAAGUCGUGAGGAAUUCGGGGAAUGUUCCAGAUAAUGUCUUGCCUCCUUAGGCAGCUCGUUAUUUAUGGCAGCGCCACUUCUUCGGUGAGCUUCUCAGACUAGGCUCAGAUCUGCCAAAUUUCGUGCGGAGAAAUUCAAAUUGCUCUUCCAACACUUUAAAGUUCGAUGACUCAAAUGUCCUGAUAAAAUCGGAAUUUCAUCUCUCAAGGAAACUUUAAGUCUAAAGGAAAGUGUCGUUUG